CCAGCAGUUUGCAGCUUCUAAGACGUGGCAUUGCUCAAUCCCAGACUAACUCAGCAGUUUCCACAGAUAGCAUACCAUCUAAAACCACUUGGACAAUGGAAACUCCGUUUGAAGUUGAUUCCAACAUACAAUAUCCCAAUGAUGGAGCUACAGCAUGGAGGAUGUCAAGAAGAGUUAUAUUGUGAUGCAGAUAUAGUCACCUUUUAAAAGGAAACCUCUGACACGGUGGACAUCAUCCUAUAAGCUAAGAGUGAGGCUGAUUUGUGAUUCUCAAACAUCAAGUGGUGGUUUGGAAGAUGUAUUUUGCAACAUCGCUGGAAACCUAAAGCACAGUGGACAUCAUCCUAAAGGCAAAGAGUGAUGUUGAUUUGUGGUUCCUAACACUGUGGUUUUAGAAGCACAGUGGACAUCAUUUUAUAUGGGCAAAGAGUGAUUUCUGAACACUUGUGUGGUUUUAAAAGAUGAUGACACCCCGCAAGACAAAAGUGAAUUGGACUUGCAACCCCAACACUAUCAGCCCUGUGUGGUUGUAGAAGAUACUUUAUACAGUAAAUAAACAUGUCCUGGAAACAA